CCACACCCUGCCUCGUCCUUGCGAGGCAAAUCCCAGCCUCCCGCUCGCUCCUGGGAGGCUGAGUGGAGGCAGAGCCGCAGCUCAGUGGGGCCACCACUGCAAGGUCAGUCACACCCCGAGGUCUGUCACACCCCAAGGUCAGUCACACUGCAGGGUCAGUCACAGAUCGAGGUCAAUCACACUGCAGGGUCAGUCACACUGCAGGGUCAGUCACACCCCAAGGUCUGUCACACUGAAAGGUCAAUCACACUGCAAGAUCAGUAACACUGCAAGGUUUGUCACACUGAAAGGUCAAUCACACCCCAAGGUCUGUCACACUGAAAGGUCAGUCCCAUCCCAAGGUCUGUCACACUGAAAGGUCAAUCACACUGCAAGGUCAAUCACGCCCCAGGGUCAGUCACAUCCCAAGGUCUGUCACACUGCAAGGUCAGUGUGGGUUCGGGUUAGUCCGGGGUGAAGGUAGUUUUCCUUCACCCAGCUGGAUUUAGGGGGAAAAAACGAGGGAGAGGGGGAUCAAGCAAGGCCGGGAGUCCCAAUGUCACACUGCAAGGCCAGUCACACUGCAAGGUCAUUCACACUGCAGGGUCAGUCACUCUCCAAGGUCAGUCACUCCCCAAUCACACUCCCAGGUCACUCACACCCCAAGGUCACUGUCCUUGCUGCCACCUCCCCGGCUCUGGCUGCAGA